AGUGAACGCUGGCGGUAGGCCUAACACAUGCAAGUCGAACGGCAGCACAGUAAGAGCUUGCUCUUACGGGUGGCGAGUGGCGGACGGGUGAGGAAUACAUCGGAAUCUACUUUUUCGUGGGGGAUAACGUAGGGAAACUUACGCUAAUACCGCAUACGACCUACGGGUGAAAGCAGGGGAUCUUCGCACCUUGCGCGAAUGAAUGAGCCGAUGUCGGAUUAUCUAGUUGGCAGGGUAAAGGCGCACCAAAGAGGGGAUCCAUAGCGGGUCUGAGUGGGUGGACGGCCACCCUGGCACGGAGAAACGGCGCAGACUCCUGAGGUGAGAAGCGGUCGGGAAUAUUGGACAAUGGGGGAAAGCCUGAUCCAGCAAUACCGCGUGGGUGAAGAAGGCCUUCGGGUUGUAAAGCCCUUUUGUUGGGAAAGAAAAGCAGCAGGUUAAUACCCCGCUGUUCUGACGGUACCCAAAGAAUAAGCACCGGCUAACUUCGUG
rnacentral:rRNA from 1 species